rnacentral:sRNA from 1 species
GGUUUUACAUUAACUAUGGUGUUAGACACAACUACUACAUGUAUAUGUAAGUAACAGUUUUUAAUUGUUUCUUUACAGUAUGAGCAACCCUGCAAUUGAUACCAUAAAAUGCACCAACAAUUUGAUUUUGUAUUUGUUUUAAGCGCAAUUCUGUGGGUACCAAGCUUGAUGUGGAAAAUCAAAGUUUUGGACAACAAUAAUCAAACCACAACCCCCAACACAACCUUCACUAAGAGUAACGCUUCAAAAAGUAGUUCUGUGGACAGCGAUGACGUCACGGUUGGAGUUGGAGUAACACUAGCCACAAUCGUUGUCCCUGUCCUCAUGAUCAUCGUCAUUAUUGUUAUCAUGAAGCGGAAGAAAGUAAAUUUCCCGGUCAAUUGUCAACGCAGCGGCUCCAACAGCUCGGGAUCAGGGGCCGACGAUGGAGUGCCAAUGACGGGUGGGAACGCGAAACAAGAUUAACAAGGCUUGAAGGUGGUGGACAUUUUUAGGCUAUAUUUACCUCCUUUAGCCAAAGAACUUUGAUUAAAGAUGUAAGAAAGUGUUCCAAUUUUAAAGCUUAACUAUUUUGGAAUUUUUAUAUUUUUUUUUUACAAAAUAAAGGUUUAUGGCC